UCUACCUAUGAUAAUGACUCGUGGCAGAUGAGUUUUGGAUGAUGAAUACUAUUUAUUGAGAAUGUUGAGGUCUAA
rnacentral:snoRNA from 1 species